UACUUUUUUGUAUUCUCAAAUUCAAUGUUUACAAUUUCUUUCAUUUGGAAUAGGAGAAUAUUUCUCCUCUCUUUCUGGACCGUGAUCCUCAAAUAUACAAAAGCUAAAGGGAUUUUGGGGGAAAGGAACCUGCAAUUGAAACAGAAAACCCCCUUUAGCCAACACGAGCAUCAACAAGAAAAAGAAAGGUAAAGGGAUUUUGGGGGAAAGGAACAGAAGCUAAAAAGGGUUGAAUCAUUCAAUUUGUAUUAUUCCAUUCCAUAACCAAAUUCAUCAUGUAUUAUUCCAUUCUCUUGAGUGACUCGGCAAUAUUUGGAUCUAUUAACAGUGGAAUGGGGCUCAGAUUCCUCCUUAGAUGGAAUUGCAUAAAGCAUCUUCUUUUUUACUUUUCUGGAGAGAGCAAAAUCCUUCCAACUAUAAAUAGAUCAAUGGACUACCGAUUCUACUCAAUUUUAACACAGUGCAAAUGGGGCAAUUUGUGUUUGUAUUAUUGUUCUUGAGUAGUAGUGUUCUCUGCCCAGUUAUCAGUCAGCCCGAUUACCAUGUUAUGAAGUAUGUACUCCAGUGGCCGCCUACGUUUUGUAGAAUUCUAGGAAAUACCUGCAAAACCGACGCUCAACAACAGUUCUCAAUCCACGGCCUUUGGCCAGCAAAUGGUCGAGGAGUAAGCUUAACAAGUAGAUUAUGUGCUCCACGUUCAGUUCAAGACCGAAUUGUAAAGAAUGUGUUGAAUGCAGAUCCAAACUUAGAAGAAGCUCUCGAAAAGGUUUGGCCUAAUCUGCUAGCUGGUACAAACGAACAUUUAUGGAAGUACGAAUGGAGAACUCAUGGAUUUCAAUCAAGUGAGACGAUCCAAGCUACUGAUUACUUUAAUGCAGCGACAAGGGUACAUGAGACGAUAUUAUACCAUCAAAUGUUAAUGUUUACACAAAAAAGAAGAUAACAACUGCUCUUUACAAAUUGGUGGGUAACAACAAUAAUGUGUAUAUAUCAUGUAAGUUGAAUAUUGCUCGCAAUAUUUUUCUCCACGAGAUAUAUCUCUGUUCGGACAAAAUGUUGCACAACUUUGUUUCAUGCCCAACAACUAAAGAUUCAAGAGGUUGUGGGAAAGGGUCCAACAUUAUCCUUCCAACAUUAACAUUCAAGGUCUACGUGUCUCUCAAUUACGUGGUGAACAAAGAUCAGGAGAUGAAGAACCUAAUUAUAUUAUGUAUAAUAAUUAAGGAGAGAAAAACAACAACAGAGAAAAUUGGGAUGAGAUCUCCUAUUGUAAUCUGUAGUUUCUAUGAAUGUUAUUGAUUGUGGAAUUAAUU